UACGUAGGGGGCUAGCGUUGUCCGGAAUCAUUGGGCGUAAAGCGCGUGUAGGCGGUCCGGUAAGUCCGCUGUGAAAGUCGAGGGCUCAACCCUCGAAUGCCGGUGGAUACUGUCGGGCUAGAGUGCGGAAGAGGCGAGUGGAAUUCCUGGUGUAGCGGUGAAAUGCGCAGAUAUCAGGAGGAACACCUAUUGCGAAGGCAGCUCGCUGGGACGCAACUGACGCUGAGACGCGAAAGCGUGGGGAGCAAACAGG
rnacentral:rRNA from 1 species